rnacentral:pre_miRNA from 1 species
GCUGAGAUUUCGUCACACACCAGACCACAAGGGCUGAUGAGACUUCCAAGAUAAGUGAAGCG